AGUAUUAUACGGAGUGCCGAAAUGUUCGGAGCUCGGAAAAAAAAAAAAAAAAAAUUCUAAAUUUUGUAAAAUUGUAUUUCGGAAUAAUAUUUUUUGGGCUAAAUUUAAAGCGUAAACCGAUGAUCAGGUUCUACCAUUCAACACAUCGAUAGUCACCAGGCCCUCCGGGAGCGCGUAACUGUGCUUCGCUAUCCGGAUCGAAAUUCUGUUUGCAACAUUUUAACUGUGAACUUGUUAAUUCUCAACAAUUGUCAGUCCAAAUUUAAGUUAUUUUAAGCAAUCAAAGAUGCGAACUAUACUGAGUAGCAACGAAGUCGAAAACGAAAACGAAAAGGAACACGAGGAGAACACAAAGACGAAAACGAAGACGAAAACGAAAAUGAAAAGGAAAACGAAAAGGAAAACGAAAAGGAACACGAGAAGAUCACAAAGACGAAACUCCCGACUGGAAACGAAAAUGAUUCUGAAGUACAUUCUGACCCCUUGUACGAACUAAAUAUAUAUAUUUUAUAUUUUUCCAUUAUAUUUUGAUAGUAAUAAAAACAUAUUUUGAUACUACAAAAAA